rnacentral:hammerhead_ribozyme from 1 species
GUACUGUUGAAGAGUCCCAAACUAGGACGAAACAGAUGUCCAGUAC